UUGCUUUUCGUUUUUGGUUUGGGGUUUCUGUGAUAGCCCCAGCGAAGCGGGUGUCCGGGGCAGCAGCCGGGGCAGCAGGUGGGGCGGGCCCGGCAGGAGGUGCUGCCUGGGGAGGCCGAGCAGAGGAGCGCCCCGAGGGCAGAGGGAGGCGAAGGGGGGCACUAGAGGUAGGUGAUAACCCGGCAGCCUGCUCAGAACGUGGCGAGGAAUAAAGGCAAGAAAAGCAAGCCAGCAACCGAUGUAGGAAGCUUUAACACAAAGAUAGCUGCUCUCCUCAAACCUGAUAGGUCAGCAUGGGCAGAAGAGGUGAGAGGGCUUAUUGUAGAACUUAAAUGUCCAAGAAGGCAAGCAAAUUUAGACCGAUAAUUUUAAUGUGAGAGAAACAUUCAGAGAAAUCUAUGAUCCUUCUACUGAGCGGCUGUGCAGAUGCUACACUGGGUUUUGAGUUCUCAGAACAGAAUUUCCCUGGGGUUUUCUACAGAGUAAUCAGAUUUAGAAGUAACUGUUCAAAUCCCCAGUGCUAUUUGUAACCUUCCCAGCAGCCAGCGCAGUAGGCUUGGGAUGCUCUUCUGCUCACCUGAAGGGAGAUAGGAAACCACAGGUUCCAAACUAGUGUCUUAUGGGGUCCCUCAGGCAGCUCCAGAAAAGUCUGCUUUCUUCCAAAGAGGAUCUUUCUUAAAGUAGUAACCAACACCUGCUUCAUGGGCCAAGAAGUCUUUCUUCUGAUUAUUCCUUGUCUUUUUAGAAGCAUAAUACAUACCUUGUGCAGUAAUUCAUUGGUGUAGGCAUGUGCAAAAAUACAGAAACUUUGUGAAGAGUUCCACUGACUCUUGAAUCUGAAAUCAAUACUUGAAUGUAUUGCUUCCAUGCAGUGCGACAUGCAGGCUUGGCAGCCAGAAUGCUUCUUUAUGUUAGGAGCAGGCAGAGGAUGUUUUUGCCCUUGUAGUCAACACAAUGUUUUGUGACAAUGAAAAGGAAAUGCUUCUGUCAAAAGAUUAAGGGGACAAGGGCUGGCAAGGAUUUGUGAGUUGUCCUUUGGGAUGAAGUUGAGAGAAUGUAUUUUCUGCUUUGAGACGGAAUAUUCUUUUCAAACUCCAGUGUGGUCACAGACUGAAUUAACCUGGUGGCAGUACAGCACCUUACAGUGACGUGCAGCCCAUGAACCUGGAAAUUUCUGAUGAUACUUUAGCCACCAAAAUUUACUACUUAUGUUCUGUCAUGUUGUUGUACAUGUACAGUUGUAAUAAAUUUGGAGAAACAGAACUCGAUCUUAAUUUUGAAGCCUGGCAUAGAGAUGCGCUUUGCGCUCAGAAUCCUCUUUCAAACAAGUUUUGAGCAACCAAGCUUAAGCUAAGGUUUGGCAUAAGCAGCUGGGGGAGGGAAGCUCAGCUGCUUUUCUGUGUAAAACGAAAGCAUGAAGGAAUGGUGGAACUGAAACUUACUGUAGAAUUUGAACAUGCAGUAGUGAGAAAUGUUUUGUCACUGUUUGCUUUGAUGUAGUCUGCUCCAUGCAGCAAGCAGAGUCAGCGGCUGUUUUGUAUAAGGCACUGUUCGUGUUCAGACAGGCAGCGCAACCAGGCCUUGCCCUUAACAACUUAAAGCCUACUUAGGCAAAACAGAGUCCCCUUCCUCCCUGCCACCGCUCCAAAGAAAAGAUAUUUGAAGUGCUUAACUGCGUCACAGAGGUAAAUCAGAGCCAAAAGCACAGCGCAGACCCUCUAACUCCUCACCUAGACCCCGAGGCGCCCAGCCCAGCUACCUCCCUGCUACAGCACCCUUGGCUCCUGCCAUCACUGUGCCUUUAAGGAGUGGAGCACGGCAUGGCUGUAAUGCGGCGCAGUGUUUUGAGUGUUUCCUGAUGAGAUGGAGGUUGGCUGCAGGUUGUUGCAGGCAUGCCAGGAAAGCUCCACUCCCAUGUAAUUUUUCAUUUUGUAAGAUCACAAGGGAAAGAAAGAUCCUCCAGGUGCACGUGCGGUCUGUCUGCCAUGUACUGAGUAGCGCAGCUGACAAACUGUCUGUCCAAAAAAUCUUCUUCAUUGAGCAGGAAUGUGGUAAUAAUACUUAGCUGCAGAGCUUCAGAGCUUGGCAGGGCUCGAAUGGGUAGGUGAGCUCACAGUCGCUGAGGAGAGCGAUGGAGCAUGCCUGCCAGCUCGGACACCAAAAGCCAAGUGUGUCAGACUGCUGCUUAUGGAGUUUGAUACCAUCUCUACGUGAAUCAUAACGAGAGUGGUCUGAGAUGCUCCAUAAGGUGUCUCUAAAACGGCUUUCCCAGGAGAAGUGGGGAUCAAUCACAACGUGUCAAGGAGACUUGUACGGCAAGUGAAGAUUUUUUGAUAGGAAGAGCUGGGGUUUUAGACUUGCGGGUCCUACAAGCUGAGCUUUCUUGGGAUAGAUUCAGUUUUACACACCCGUGUUUCCUUUUGCAACCCCCACAUCCCCAUCCUUCUGUUCCCUUUCUUACCUCCUCUCCCUCUACUUAAAAUCCCCAUAAUCUGGGCCUUGGAAAGAGCUCCACGCCAGCAGGGCUGGGUAAAGCGAGGUUCCUGCACCCGGCAGAGGGCAGCGCACAAAUCCGAGGCCGGUGCAGAGCUGCUAGGCAGAGCCCACACAGGGAGGAGGUCUCCGGAAAGCUCUGCUGCCACUUCAGGUGGUUCUGAUCUGCGCUGUCACUCAGCUUAACAGGCACUUACUGCAACGUGAAUUAGAUUUAGAGUCUGUUUGACACAGAGUGGCUGCUGAGGUCCUGCCUUCUGAGAAGAGCUCACCGGAAUGACCGGGGAGGCCGGUGAGUGGGCAGAGCCCAGGCUGCUGCAGGGGCUGCACCCACCAGCAUCACUGCGGGGGGACUGCUGCUGCACACAUCCUCACAGCGGCGAGGGAAAGUGUUGCACCCUUCUUGGUCAUGAAACUGAAUACCAUGAGGUACUCGUGGAUCACUUGUCAGUGGCGGUUGUUCAAGACUUGGAAUGCCAGCAAUGGAAUUCUGACCUUCAUUCCAGCAAAUCUGUACCUGACCCUGCAUAUUUGGGCUUAGGGGCAAGAGUUGGGUCUUAAUUAGAGAUUUUCAAUAGUGUUUAAUAUAAGGCGCUGUACAGACUACAAACUAGAACCUGUGAUUAAAAGCACUUAAAUCAAGAGGUGGGGGCAGUUUGUGACACUUUAAUUUUAAAAUGUGACAUUUCUUUAUGAGUUGUAGAGUUCUUUGUAAGCUGAACUGACGAGAUGUCUCCCCGGUUGCCUCAUGCAAUCUUGUGUCUUGAUUUUUUAAUCAAUUAAAGAAGCCUAAGAAUGUGAAAACAUAAUUAAGCAAUUAUACAUUGAAUGUCCUGAUUUAGGAAGAAUUCUGUGAUUGUACUUAUCAUUUUAGAUCUUCUCUUAGACCUAUUAAGAGAUAAAUAGGCCUUGUAUAGCCCAUACAGUAAUGUGACUUUCAUCCAAAAUUAACGCUGUUGUACAUGGCAACAUUCAUUCAUCCAUGCUAGUAGGUGGGGGAGCAAGCUGCUCCUUGUAGGUGGUGUGGCAAUACAUGCGUUUUAAGUCCAGGCUUGUGACUACUUCCAUUUUUGAACCUUGCUUUACAAAAUGCACCCCAUAAUGUCGGUAAUUGAUAAAUCAAGCUUUUUUAGUCCAUCUAAGUACAUAAAAACAGAAAAGUGCUAUCUAUUAUUGAGCGGCUUUAAACAAGUUUCACUGCUGUUGAUUUCCUCUUUAUAUUAUUUUUGCUUUUUCAGUCGUUCAGCAGUUCUGAAUUCAUGCUUUGCUUCCCUGGUGCAGAGAAGCACAAGGCCACCUGUUCCUUCAACUAUGAUUUUAGCUUUUGCUUUCUGAAGUACCAGUACCACUCAGCACUUAGCAGCAUUCUUCCAAUUUAAGGCCAUUUCUGCUCUUCAUCCCAGUAUUGCAGCCAGCACCAGGUGAGUCAGGAGACCAGUUGCUCACAAGCAGUUUCCAAAGAGGUUGUCAGUGCUACUAGUGCCCAGUGCAGGAUCCCUUUCAUCUAGCGUCCCCAGGCAGUCACAUGGGCAAAGCUUUAGUCACAGCUUCAUGGAAAAUAAAUGCAGCCAUUUUCCAUGGAGAUUCGCUGAUCUCAAGAGCAAUAUUUGUUUAGUUAUGGACAGUCACCACAUCUGUGCCUUAGGUGAUAUUCGGCUAAAGGAUAUGGAACAGUGAGAAGUAUUCACUUUUCACACAGGUUUUUAGUCACUAAGAAACAGCCGACUGGUCUGCGUGGCUGUGUGACCUGCAGCUGCCACCAAACCUGCUAUCAAGUGUCUGUCGAAGACUCCACAAAAUACUCCCUCUCACAGCAACAGAAAUGCGGGCUUCCUCCUCUCUGGCUCCCUGGGAGCUCCUGGAGGCUCGCCUCAAACCUGCCUCUUCAAGUAGCUUGAUGUUAAUUUUAAACUUCCAAAAGUUUUUUCCUGAAUGAAUGUAGGUAUGUGCCAAGUGUGAGAUCGGUAUAAAAUUCCUGAGUCAUUAUAUUCAAACUCUGGGUCCUUUUUAUCCAGUUCUAAUGUUUUAUUAAUUUCAAAUUACCUUGAUUGUUGGUGGUAUAGCUGUAAUGUUUUUGGUUUAAACAAGAUAAGGCUUGUAGGGAGAGAUGAGCUCUUUGAUUAGACCUGAGAAAGAUCUUGCUUGCUGGAAAAUUUGAAAAUUAGUAAAAGCCUCUCUCUGCUAAGCAGCAGAAAUUUAUUUCAUGAAUCUUUGAACAGGCCUUGAGUGGUGCAGGACCCUGCCAAUGUAUGCUCUGGAAUGGCUGUAACUUCUCAGCCUUACUGACCUCUAUGUAUAUCUCUAAUAAUUGACAUCUCAGAUUUUUGAGUUUUCAAAAAUAACGUGCCACACUUCUUGUUACUUUUCGUUAGGAAAAUUAUUCUGCUUUCACUCCAUUGGAUGAACUGGAUGCUGACAAUGCUAAUCAGAGUUUAUUUAUGCAAAGCCAGCGACUGUCAAGGGAGCACACUACGGUCUGUAUUCCCCUACACCGGUUACAGGGGCUCCCCAGUCCUGUUAAGCUUCUCCUAAACAUCCAGUUCUUUUAUGUAGUGAAAUGAAGUCAGAAGGGCUGAAUGACUGAGUCUCCUAGCUACAGGCUUAACUUCAGACAGGACAAAGAUCUAACACUUUGGAUGCCAUUCAUAUUAAAAAGAGUUGGGGUUUUUUCUCGGUUCAGGAGUUUGAAUAAGCUCAUCUGGAAGCCAGCUUUAGAGACUGUUUCCAGCACAGCAAGCACUACUGGUAAAGUAAAGACUAUGAUUAAUUCCUUUAUUUUUUCCACUUUCAUCAUGUCAUAGUCCUAUUCCAUAGAAUGCUGAUUUCUUUCAGUUACAUAUAUAUAGCGUAUUUAUAGCACAGACAGAAAUAAACAGGUGACACUCACUUCUGCAGAAUGGGACUGGAGCUCUCUAAGCAUUUCCUCUUAAGUAUUCUUUGUAAAUGAAAUGAGUCAGCUAAGCUGGAGGGCAUCACACUGUUUUCUCAGCCUGUAAACUACCAUCAGUAGGGAUGUGUGGUGAGUGACUGGAACUGGUUAAGUUUGCGGGAUGGUGCCAGCAAUGGAAUAAUUUCUCAUGUUAAGGCUGGCUGUAUGAGCUAAGGCUUCCACCCUCUCUGAGGAGAUGCCUGAGCCAGAUGCUGGUUUUCCUCUGCCACACACUGCGUGCAGUUGGCAGCUGCUGGCAGCUGCAGGAAGACUCUUGCCAUAAUCCUCUUAUUGAUUCCACUAAGCAAACGCUAACACACCAUGUAUAGCAUCUGUAUUAGGUUCUCAAGGAAAAAAAAAAAAAAAAAAAGAGCAUGAGCGGGUGCCUUGCCAACGCUUGACUUGAUAGCAUUUGCCACAAAAGUUAGUUUGUCUUAAGAGUGACUCCCAUACAGUUUUGGCAGGACAACACUACGGGAGAGGCCAGGCUUUUCUUCUUGUUGUUAGCUGUGUUAUGAUGUUUGUCACUUACAUUAACCUGCCUUGUCCAAGUCACUUCUAAAAGGUCACUUAUUGAGAGCUACCUGCUGACUAAAGCUUUGACAGGUUGCUUCUAGAGUUUUCCUGUUUCAGCAGAUGACUUGCCUGGCUCCAGGUCUUUUGAAAUCGCUGGUCAAACAUAAUUUAGCAUCCAUAUGCCAGACUGGUAAGUCCCAAAGCAUAAAUUACAAGCAGCUGAAGUUCAGGUUAGGGAUGCAAAUAUGACUGACUUCUGACCCAUUAAUUCCAACCCACUGACCCAUUAAUUUCAAAUCAUUAAUUAUAUUCAGUGAUGGUGAAAAGCCUAAAAAAAAAAUCCCUGAAGGAUGAGGAUGGUUUUCCAGACUCCAUCCAGCAUGACAGCAUGUCCAAAUUGCAUCUUUUAUAUGGUACAAAACAAACACCAGGAAACAAUUGAAUUUUAUAUUCUUGUGAUUGUUUCAUAUAGUUCUGUGUGUGCAGUAUGAGAAAACAAGCAUAAAUUAGGGUCGACCUCUUAAAGGUGAAACUUGGUAGUUCUUGUCUGUGUUAAAAGCUGUCCUUCAGUGGUGUUUCAUAUCAAUACCAGGAAGAGGAAGAGUUUGUCUCAGAUCCUUCUUCUCAUUUACGGAGUAAUGCAUUUUUACAAAGCCUUGUUUUCUUAUCUUGAUUCUGUCAUGCUACCUUCUGUAUGCUCCUUCCUUUUACUGAAGGAGGAUAUGAGAGACACGAUCCUAUCACCUUGCAGUUUACUCUGUGAUUGUGGGCAGACAGUGUUUGCAAGAGACGCUAACACAGAGCAACACCCGCCAGCACGUUGCAGAACAGAGCGGGUGGGGAGCUGCUGUUGUCCUGUCUGCAUCACACUUGAAUCCCCUGAGCUGCUGGGCUGUCGCGAACAAGUUUUUCUGUACUAUUUGUUUUAUGGACAGUGGUGGGCCAUUCAGAUGUUACCAUCAGCUCCAUGCUUCAUGACUUUUCUUCCAUUCAUCUGUGGAGCUUCCGGGGGGGGCCUGUUUCCAAAGCAAGUAUUCAGACAAUAGCAAAAAUAAUUAAAAAAAAAUAAUUGUAAUUGCUUGGAUUCCAAAUCUAAAAAAAAGAAUUAAAACUUUUUUUGAAGUGUAGUUAGUGACUUCUCAGUAUGAGGAAAAAGAAACUGAGAAAUAAAAUUGAAGAACCUUUUCUGUACACAUUAACCAAUGGACUGGGACAGAGAUCUUUUUUUAAAACGCUUUUAAGUAGGAUGAAAGACACUAAAAUAUCAGAAUUUCUGGCCAAGGGACAGACUUUAUGCAGUGAGGAUAUAUCAAGCUGUAGCCCUAUAUAUAGUACUAAAUUUGCCUUUACACAAUCCUGCUUUAUUUACCCCUUAGUACAAAACCCUUUUUUCCCCACUUUAUUUUACGAAGCCGCCUCUGGCUUCAUAGAUUUUCUGAUUGUGCAAUAUCAUCCUUUUACCAAAAUUAGAGAGGGGAGCACAGAACUGCUUCCAUUUUAAGGAGUGCUGUCGCUGAGAGUGUGAAAAGGUCUGAGCUGGGCAGAAAAUUUCAAGUUGCUGCUUCUUUGGAAAUCUCUUUUCAGGGAAAUCUAGGGUCAAAUUCUUUCCUAAGUUCUCUUGACACCGUACCAACAAAACAAUGCCAGAGUCAUUGCUGGAGACCAGGCUCCUGCUGUGCUCCCAGCUAUCUUAUCUGCCAGCAGUCUGGCCUUUUUUUUACCCGUACUGUGCCAGCACGAGGAAUAAUGUCCUUGAAGACUGCUGUGAAGAAAGGUGCACGUUGUAGUAGCAGGCAGAAGAUUGAUCCCUUCUUUUUAAUCUCUUUUUAAAUUUAAAAAAAAAAAACAAAACCUCUGUCCCAACCAGCAUGCUCUCAGAAAAUGUGUUGAAAUUUAAUCCAGUGUAAUUUACAGCCUGUCAGCCAUCAAUUCAUUGCCUUUCCCAACUGUGUGCUGAACUUCCUCUGUUACCCUUAAAUCAGGGGAUGAUCAGUGUGGGAUCAGCUCCAGAAAACAGUCUGUGGAGGCCCCAAGACAUUUUUCCUGCAGCUGCAGAACAUGUCUCCAUGUUGAGCUGAGCCAGUUCUUUGAUAAGACCAUUGCAGAUAAUUUAGUAUAAGUUUGCACUUUACUGAAAGAUAAGGAUUUUCUGGUUUAGGAAAACAAAUCCAUUUCUCAAUGCAGAUUGCCAGUGCUUCUGCCCUUCUUAUAACACAGUUUCUUCACGGAAAAUCUUUUAAAAGGGGCCUUUUAGUUUCUCCUGGAAAUUACACUCUUGUAGGGGUCUUGCCUUCUUCUGUAGAUUUAAUGGCUUAAUAAGCAUUAGACCCUCCUAUUAUACAGUAACAAAUAGGAAUACAAUACUUUUAUCAAUAUUUGGCACAAAUGAUUUUUUUAUGUGAAACUAAAUAUUGAUGCUGUCAAGUGACUGCAGCUUAGGGGCAUAAAUUACAGAUAUUCUUCUCCUGUGAGCCUCGCUCAAAUUUUGCUUUCAUAUACAGUAACUAUCUAAUGUCUUUCUAUUCCUGUAAGCCAUAUGAUUUGAUUGCCAGAUUACAUGAUUCUGUACUGUGCUUAGUGUUUUUAUUGUUAUUACCAAUAUUAUAUUUUAUUCUUACUGUAAAUGGUAACAAAAAGGUAACUGCUUCCUUACACUAUAAAAGGAAUAAAGUCCCAUUUGCAGAAUGUCUCUCAACAGAAAAUACCUCUGGAAAAAAGAUAUACUGAAUAAAUAAUUCAUAACAUGAUGGGUGAGUAGAAAAAAAGGUCUUUUGAUGUAUUCUGCUACUCAAAACAAAACUGGAUUUUUUAAAGUAACUGACUAUUUUAAUGGAGAACAAAAUCUGCUUUAAAGAAGAGUGAUGACAGGGGAGUCAGUCCUACGUGCGUUUUUACCCAUUUUGCACUUCUGUAGGUAAUAAAAUUUGUGAAACUGAGGAAUCCAUCCCCUUGCUUUUCCCGAUUAUUUUCUUUUUCUUUGUUCCAUCCUCCUGUUUUUCCAUUAUCUUAUUUCUUGGCUUAUUUCCUGAAUGAAAUGUCAACUCAGCCACCCAAAGAAAACCAUAACAUUUCAAGGAUUUCUGAUUGCAGCAAAGUGAAUUAGCUAGUCUGUAACAUAAACAGAGAGCAAAUAAAUUCUUAAAGGCCUUGGAGUUAAAGUCUCCCAGCUUAAAGCUGCUUAUGCUUUCAGUGCAUUAUGCUCCAGAUUUCCAUGUAAGUAUAUAUUAAAAAAGAAAAAAAGAUAUCCUGAAGGCAUCCCUGAGAAAAUCGGCAUGUGCAUUUUCAUUUCUUCCCAUGAAACUGGAGGAUCUUCGUCAACUAAACAGUAAACAUUAAGGGAUCAGUUAUUGGUAAAGGAGUCAAUCCUGAACAGAAUUCAGGUGAAAUGAGAACCAGCUGGUCUAGAACUCCGGCGGGGCUCUUGAUUGCCACCGGUGGGAGAGGGGGCGCCGGCCCCAGCCGGCCGCUGACCUGCGGGGUCGCUUUCCACCGAGUCCGGCGCUGCAGCCCGGGAGGCGCUGAGGCGGGCGCUCGCCGGGG